UCCUCGAGUGUCGGCGGCAGGAGGGUGGGCAGGCUGGCGGCAGGGGCUGCCGCGGCCGCCGCCGCCGCCGCCGCAGCAGCCUCCUCCGGGUCCCGGGUCCCGGGUCCUCUCGUCCUCUCGCGGUGAUGAGCUGGGCCCAGUCGGGGGCUGCACCUGCCGGCUGCCCAUCACCCUGGACCUCCCGGCGUGACCUCGGCCUCCUCGCGCGCCCGGCCCCCGCGGCACCGCGCUGCCCCUGAGGGGAGCGGCAGCGGCCUCCUCCGCCCCGAGUCCUCGCUCGCGGGCCGCGCGGGGAGAGCGCCCGGCCCCCUCCCCUCCCCGGUCCGCCGUCCUCGAUGUCUCCCCGGCGGGGAGGGGGCUGCCUGGGAGACGCGCUGAGCGGCCCCCCUGCCCGGAGGCCCGGCGGCGGCGGCGGCGGCGGCGGCAGCAGCAGCAGCAGCAGCGAGCGGCCCGGCGCCCCGAAGCCGUCCCCGGCGGCGGCGGCGGCGGCGGCCUGGAGGAGCCGCGCACUCGCCGCCGCCCCCGGAGCUUCGCAGCCGCCGCCGCCGCCGCCCGGCGCCCGAGGAGAGGGCGGCGGGCGCUCCCCGGGGAAGAUGAAGGCGGAGGGGGGCGACCACUCCAUGAUCAACCUGUCGGUGCAGCAGGUCCUGAGCCUCUGGGCCCACGGGACGGUGCUGAGGAACCUUACGGAGAUGUGGUACUGGAUCUUCCUCUGGGCUCUCUUCUCCUCUCUGUUUGUCCAUGGUGCUGCAGGAGUGUUGAUGUUUGUGAUGCUACAGAGGCAUCGGCAGGGAAGAGUAAUCUCUGUCAUUGCAGUCAGCAUCGGAUUUCUGGCUUCCGUGACUGGAGCAAUGAUUACUAGUGCAGCAGUGGCCGGCAUUUACAGAGUGGCAGGGAAGAACAUGGCCCCCUUGGAAGCGCUGGUGUGGGGCGUUGGACAGACCGUACUGACAUUAAUCAUCUCCUUUUCAAGGAUCCUCGCCACACUCUGAGGUUUCUAUGGGAAUGUCUUACUUCACAUAAGGAAACAGACGUACAGAUUCUCUGAAAAUGGCAUUUUAACACGUGGGAAUGAAAUUGUACAACAAUGUGGAAGGAGCAGGUCAGAACACAAGGCCUUGAGCUGUGUGGGAAGAUUGCCCUCUGGUGUUCAAGUGAUUGCACUACCGCACUGCACCUUACGUGCCUCCAUCCCAGGCAAGGCGCAUUACGCUAUGUGAAGCUACAAGAAAAAGCACCUUGUUUAGCUGCCAAUCAGGUUAACAUUGGUGUUGAAUCAUCGUUCUUAAAAGUGUUGUGUUAAGUUACAGGGACGUUUUGAAGAAUUGAUAUAUGUGCCAAACUCUUCUUUUUUUUAACAUUGAUCAUGUGAAAUUUGCAAGUGUAGAUGUAGAUGAGUGCUGUGAACAAAUUUGACCUGAAUUCAGGUGGUGUAGUGAGAUUUCUGUUUUGUACUGCUAAAUCCCGUAUGAGUGCUGAAUACCGAGUCACCUACUAUGAGACAAAUUAUUUGAUUUUUAAUGUUGAACGUUUCUGGGAUUUAGGGCUUUCAUAUAAAUUAGGCAUUAUUGUUAUUUACGUGAAAAAUAAUACUUAAUGGAAAACUGCUAAACUCUUUUAAGGACUCAAAGUAGAUCUAUAGGGUGCAUCCUUUUCACUCACUUAAAUAACACCCUUUGAAGAGUUUCCCUCAUACGUAAACAUUCUAUUGAUAUGAAUUUAAAAAUUUUAUGAGUCACACACAUUGUAGUUUGUGUGUCACAGAAAUAUAAUUUGAAAAUUUUCUUAUACAUUUUGUAAGAAAAGAAGUCUGAAAUGCACGUUGCAUUCUUGACCCUUCUAAAGAAAGUUUUUGCCAUGUAUCUCAUGGAGAAAACAUCUUUACCGCUUGUAUCUCAGUGGGAUUAUAUUACUUGUUGAAUAUAUCUUGAUUUUUUGACAAAACACAAGCAGUCUUUCAUUCUGGAGUAUUAAAUUUAGAGAGUGGCCUAAAUUAGGCUAUGAAAACAAGAAGCCUCGUUUGUAGAUUAGAAGCAAGUCAUAUAGGAAGAGUAAUAAACUAUCUUACUUUGGGUAUGUGGUAACAAUUUCUCUAAGUAAAAAUUGGGGAAUAGAGUAAAUAAUUUUAAAAUUUGGCAGUGAAUCUCAGCAUAUAAAUCCAGUAUUGAACAUACAUUUCAGUGAUUCAUUUCAGUUGUUCAGCUCUUGUUUUAUGCUGUUAUUUAAGUUUACUAGAAUCUGUGAUGACACUUAUUAGAAUGAAAAAGUCCUUAGUAUAAAACAUUUUAAGAGGUUUUGACAAUAUGUAAUUGUAUUUAAGAGUACAAGAGAUAAGGGCAACACAAAACUUCGUUGAAUUUGUCUCCUACUGAGAUUUUUUUAAAUACCAGAUACAAUUAUAUAUCUUCCAACUCAAAGGAAGAGCCACCUGUAGAAAAUAAGAAGCUAAGGACAGUCCAAAAAGUAACCUGCAUACUCUCGCCUGUUUUGUAAUCUAAUUUGGUAAAAAGUAAGUUAUAUUUGGUCUCAUUUAAAUUUAAGACCUCUAUUACCUACGGCAUCUUUUCUCCACCAAAAAGCAGACUAUACAACAACUCACCAAUGAGGAGUUGGGGGUAUUUUACCAGGAUGGAAGCCUGUUUGGGGCGGAGGGGGGGGUGUUUAAUAACACUGUGGCUUGGAAAUUUGUUUUUAAAAAAUCCAAGAAGCAACUAUGCAUUCUUAGAGAUCUUUAAAGUAAAUCUUAAAAUUGAUUCUUUUUAUUAUGUUCAAGCCUGAAAUUAUUUUCAUGUGUUCUUUAUAUUCCUGAUGUUCUCCUAAAUUAAAUUUAGGUAUAAAUCUUCCAAAUCAAUUUAAUUUUUCCUUUUCUGUUAGACUUGAAUGGUGUUCUUCCUUUACUUUGGUAAUUCUGUCAAUAAUUCAAAGUGUUCAUAUUCUUUGGGAGGAAUUACCAGUAACAUGUUGAAAUUGUUUGACGUCUACAGAAAUGAAUAUUUAUUUUAACACAUGGUUAUUUUACAAUUUCAGAAAGCUAUCAUGGUAAGGUAAGGAGCACAUGGCUCAGAAUCUGAAAUUUGCCAGAAAAUAAUUUGGACACAUUAAGUGAAUGGCUGCAUGGACCAAAGAGAUUUAAACUCCUGUUUUGGCUCUAGAAUGGAAAUAUAAGAAGGUGGAGCAGUUUGUAGAGUAUCCCGCAGUUAUCUCAUUAUCAAGUUGCUUUACGGUGUUUCUCUCAGAAAGUCUUAAUCAGAAUUCUUCAAAGAGUUGCUGUUUGUUUUUAAGAUGUGAAGAAUGCGCAGAGUUACUGAAGAAAUUCUAGUGACCUAGAUUGCAGAGAAGUUUGGCAACACUUGGGUAACUGGACUCUACAGCAUAAAAAGGACAUUAUUUGAUUAAAAAAUGAUAAAACUUUUCAAACGUAGCAUUUAUAGCAGAGGGAAGUUUAAAGACAGGAAGAAACGUUGGAGGACUAAUGCACAGAAACACAGACACACUUGAUGAAGCACCCUGCAUUAUGUGAACACAAUUUCCCCUUCUGUGAAGACUAUAAACUACACUGUGUGAGUAUAUUUAGUGCAUGUUUGCAAAACGCAGUGUUUCUUUGUAUAUGAGACUAAACUUACCACAGGGCAUUUUGAAAUCAUACUAUACUUUUGUGCUUGUGGUGGUAGGUUUGCCUGCUAACUUAAGGAUCUCUGUUCAGUGUAGGCCAUGCAAUGUUUUUGAGGAGGUUGCUGAAGUUGUUAUCUAAAAAUAUAUCUAUGAAUUUAUUUAGAGGAAGUAAUGCUUAAUAUAUACAGUGUUUUCAGUAAAUGUGGAGAUAUACCAGUUGAUACAUUAUUGGAUUAGUAGAAACACCCAGAUUUCUGAGUGCACUAAACUAUGAACUGUAACCAUCAACCCUGAGCUCAGGGGAGUGGUUUUCACAUUCUUUACAGUCAUUGCACAUACGUUGAACUUACAUAAUAACCCUUUCUUGAUUUUGAGAACUAAUUCAGCAGUUUCUUAAAAAUAUUCCUCCUGCUUCCAUACAGAUGUCAUAUGGUAUAGUUUAAACAUGUACAGUUUGUUGAUAGAAUCAGAAGUGCUGGUUUAGAAGAGAAUGUUCUUAACACCUUAUGGUUAUGCAGCUAUAAUCUUGCUGAAAAUCAAAUACUAUAAACAAGUCAAGAGAGCAUGGACCGCCUACAUGUUUUUUAGAUUAUAUCCCAUACCCAUAUAUAUGUCCCCUCAGUGGUGACAUGGCUGUCCCCUUUUGGGAACUGUAUUUAGGUAUGUAACUAAAAUUGGAAAGCUGUGUUAUAUAAAUAUAUAGGAAGAGGAACUAUAAUGCAUACUCACCAUAACUGUAACACUUUUUCUCCUAAACAUACUACACAUUGGUAAUUUCUGAAAAUUGCUUUUUAUAGCCCUGUAUAAAUGAAUGAUAACUUGGUAGUACUAUUGGUGGUAAAAAGUUUCCUUUGUUUUUAAAUUGAAGUAUUUAUACAUCAUCACCAAGUAUCUUUGGGAAGGAACAUUUUAAAGUUUUCUCCAUAAGAGGCAAAAGAGAGGCACUGGUCUGAAUAGUAAUCAAAAAUGAUUUACUUUCAAUACUGGAUGAGUUGAUAGUCUGAUUGUUGACGCUUUCUUGGCAUUUGUGGUAUCAGAUGCAUUUACAAUGGAGGGAUUUUAAAAGUUCUGUCCGUCUCUCCAACACACGCGCACACACGAGCUCCAGACAUUUAGGUAACAAUGUAAAAUUCCACAGUAUUUUUCAUUUUAGUCAUAAAACUAGUUAAAAUUCAUAGGAUCCUGCCAUAAAGUAUUAACUCCUGACUCUAGUCAUUCUAGAAUGAGGUUAUCAACUUUCUUUUAAAGUUAAUCAAUGAAAAUUUUUUAUUUACGUAGCAAAAAUAUAGUUCACCUGAUAGGUGUUAAAAACUCACUUUCAAAUUGUGUGACCUCUCAGACUGCUGACGAAUCAUUUAGUAAACCACAGUGCAGUUUUUUAAAAGUUAAAUGAUGCCUUAGUGCCUUGGAAGUAGAGAUAACUUUUGCAAAGUGAAUUUAGCAAGAUUCAGGAUUAGUACACCUAUUACUGGGGAUUCAGAGCUGUGGAAUGUUGUCAUUGAAUUAGCUCCUUGUGGUUUAGUAAAAAUCAGUUAUUUCGCCAUUGACUAUGACAGAUGACAACUGCUUUCAUUGCAUUUUCACGAUGUGGUAUUUGUCCGUUUUUUCUUUUUUCCAAGUCUGAAAUGGGAGAAAAUGUAGUCAAGACAGGUAAAUGUGGAGUUUUAAAAUUUGGUUUUGUUGUAAACUAGAGAUUCUAGCGUGAACAGUGUGAGCUUUAUAUUGUAGUACAAUGGCAGAUACUUCAUGUAACUUUUAGGAAUAUGUUUACCAUCAGGGAUUUUUUUUUUUUAAACUAUAGAAAUACUUAAUGUACUGUGAAGCUUAAAGACAGGAAGAAGAAACCUUGGAGGGGCAACGCACAAAAACAAAGACGUAUGUGAUGAAGUAUCCUACAUUAUGUGAACACAAUUUUCCCCCUUCUGUUAAGACUGUAAACUACACUGUAUGAGUAUGUGUACUGCAUGUUUACAUAAUACAGUUUAAUUUUGAAGGGUUAUUUAAAAAGUAUGUUUAUUUAUAAUACCUAACAAGCUGUAAAUAUUGUAUACUAUUGAUUUUUAAUUUUAUAUAGGCAAUUUUUUAUUUCCAAUUCAUGUACAAAUCUCAUUGUAUAUAACAUAAUUUCCUGGAGAACACAAAUUUUGCAGUGAAUUUUAAUUAUUUUAAUUGUGGUGAGCAUCAGGUUUAAUCAUGGUAAGCAUAGAAAUGUUGAUCUUUAUUUUAAAUUAUUUUUCACCACUCAUUUUCUUCAAAGGGCAGCAAUAAAUAUAUGCAAGUUAUUUUUGAUUAUACAAAGUUGGUCUGCAAAGACAAGAUCUAGGUUCCAAUUCAUUGCUUCAAAGAAAAGAUGCACAAUUAACAUCAUCCACUGUCUAAUCUCAGGACCAUUUCUGAGGUCCAUAUGUGUCUCUCCUCUUUGUAAUGUACAGGGUGAACUCUUUACUGAUACAAACAAAACAACUGUUAAAAGUGAAUCCAGCACUUAAAUGUCAUUACACAGAAUUUAUUGGAUUAAAAAUUUGUAAUAUACAGUAUUUUAAUAAAGUUUCUGUAUUCAAUUUCAUGCACUUGUAUAUAAAUAAACCUGUCUUUAA